GGCCCAGUUUCCUUUUACGUGUAGGAGGCAAGAUGAAGCUUCCCAUCCGUUGGUUGGGAGUGUUUCACACGCACCGAAUUGUUUUUGAGUUGAAUUUGGGGCUGUUUGGUAAGAGGCCCGAUUUUAGUAUAAAGUUCUUUUGAAUGUGAGGUGGGGGGAAUUGCAUUGGUGUAUGUAAGAGAGGGAAGAAAGAUUGGCAGUAGGGAGAGAGGUCUAUUGUUCUCACAGUACCAUUGGAGAAAGGCAUGGCCCACCUUGAGAAGUGAUGGUAGCAUUUGAGAGAGGGUCCCCAACAAUCAACAUGCCCCUUUUAAUGCAAAUUGAAGAGAAUAACAGAGAUGUCUGUCCUUUGCUUCCAUGAAUGCUCUUGCAUUUUCUGCAGGGUGUUCCUCACUGCUGAAGGGCCCCACUGGAGCAGCCAAUGGCAGUGGCUGGACAUAGAAAUCGGAUAUGGGAAUGACUGUGUUUUAAUGCUUUCAUUGAAUCAACUUGUGAGACAUUUUCAGUGUA